rnacentral:rRNA from 1 species
GCUAGCUACAGGCUUAACACAUGCAAGUCGCAGGGUAACAUGAGGAAAGCUUGCUUUCCUUGAUGACGACUGGCGCACGGGUGAGUAACGCGUAUCCAACCUUCCCAUAACUACGGGAUAACCCGUUGAAAGACGGCCUAAUACCGUAUGAUAUCGUUUGCUGACAUCAAAUAACGAUUAAAGGUUUAGCGGUUAUGGAUGGGGAUGCGUCUGAUUAGCUUGUUGGCGGGGUAACGGCCCACCAAGGCUACGAUCAGUAGGGGUUCUGAGAGGAAGGUCCCCCACAUUGGAACUGAGACACGGUCCAAACUCCUACGGGAGGCAGCAGUGAGGAAUAUUGGUCAAUGGGCGAGAGCCUGAACCAGCCAAGUAGCGUGCAGGAUGACGGCCCUAUGGGUUGUAAACUGCUUUUAUGUGGGGAUAAAGUGCGUGACGUGUCAUGCAUUGCAGGUACCACAUGAAUAAGGACCGGCUAAUUCCGUGCCAGCCGCCGCGGUAAAAGGG